rnacentral:pre_miRNA from 1 species
GUGUUCACUGUGUUGGCUUUAGUGAAAAGCUUACAAUUAAGGCACGCGGUGAAUGCGU